AAUCAACGCUGGCGGCGUGCCUCAGACAUGCAAGUCGAACGAUUAAAGCUCUCUUCGGAGAGUGCAUAGAGUGGCGCACGGGUGGGUAACACGUAAGUAAUCUACAUUCGAGUGGGGAAUAACGUCCGGAAACGGACGCUAAUACCGCAUAAUGCAGCGGCAUCGCAAGAUGACAGUUGGUAAAGAUUUAUCGCUGGAAGAGGAGCUUGCGGCAGCUUGGCUAGGUGGUAAGGUAAUGGCUUACCAAGGCUACGAUCUGUAACCGGUCUUAGAGGACGGUCGGUCACACUGACACUGAAUAACGGGUCAGACUCCUACGGGAGGCAGCAGUCGGGAAUUUUGGGCAAUUGGCGAAAGCCUGACCCAGCAACGCCGCGUGAAGGAUGAAGUAUUUCGGUAUGUAAACUUCGAAAGAAUGGGAAGAAUCAAUGACGGUACCAUUUAUAAGGUCCGGCUAACUACGUGCCAGCCGCCGCAGUAACAC
rnacentral:rRNA from 1 species